rnacentral:rRNA from 1 species
GAUGACCGUACCGCAAACCGACACAGGUGGGCGAGAUGAGUAUUCUAAGGCGCUUGAGAGAACUCGGGAGAAGGAACUCGGCAAAUUGGUACCGUAACUUCGGGAUAAGGUACGCCCUUGUAGCUUGACUGGCCUGCGCCAGGAGGGUGAAGGGGUUGCAAUAAACUGGUGGCUGCGACUGUUUAAUAAAAACACAGCACUCUGCAAACACGAAAGUGGACGUAUAGGGUGUGACGCCUGCCCGGUGCCGGAAGAUUAAAUGAUGGGGUGCAAGCUCUUGAUUGAAGUCCCGGUAAACGGCGGCCGUAACUAUAACGGUCCUAAGGUAGCGAAAUUCCUUGUCGGGUAAGUUCCGACCUGCACGAAUGGCGUAACGAUGGCCACACUGUCUCCUCCCGAGACUCAGCGAAGUUGAAGUGUUUGUGAUGAUGCAAUCUACCCGCGGCUAGACGGAAAGACCCCAUGAACCUUUACUGUAGCUUUGCAUUGGACUUUGAACCGAUCUGUGUAGGAUAGGUGGGAGGCUAUGAAACCGGAACGCUAGUUUCGGUGGAGCCGUCCUUGAAAUACCACCCUGGUUUGUUUGAGGUUCUAACCUUGGCCCGUGAUCCGGGUCGGGGACAGUGCAUGGUAGGCAGUUUGACUGGGGCGGUCUCCUCCCAAAGCGUAACGGAGGAGUACGAAGGUACGCUAGGUACGGUCGGAAAUCGUGCUGAUAGUGCAAUGGCAUAAGCGUGCUUAACUGCGAGACCGACAAGUCGAGCAGGUGCGAAAGCAGGUCAUAGUGAUCCGGUGGUUCUGUAUGGAAGGGCCAUCGCUCAACGGAUAAAAGGUACUCUGGGGAUAACAGGCUGAUACCGCCCAAGAGUUCAUAUCGACGGCGGUGUUUGGCACCUCGAUGUCGGCUCAUCUCAUCCUGGGGCUGUAGCCGGUCCCAAGGGUAUGGCUGUUCGCCAUUUAAAGAGGUACGUGAGCUGGGUUUAAAACGUCGUGAGACAGUUUGGUCCCUAUCUGCCGUGGGCGUUGGAUAUUUGAAGGGGGCUGCUCCUAGUACGAGAGGACCGGAGUGGACGAACCUCUGGUGUACCGGUUGUCACGCCAGUGGCAUCGCCGGGUAGCUAUGUUCGGAAGAGAUAACCGCUGAAAGCAUCUAAGCGGGAAACUCGCCUUAAGAUGAGAUAUCCCUGGGGACUAGAUCCCCUUGAAGGGUCGUUCGAGACCAGGACGUUGAUAGGUCAGGUGUGUAAGCGCAGUAAUGCGUUCAGCUAACUGAUACUAAUUGCCCGUAAGGCUUGAUCCU